rnacentral:lncRNA from 1 species
AUGGCAAGUCAGUUGCAGGUGAUCCAGUAGCUGUUGCAGGCAGAGGUGAUGGAGGCCCACAAGCCAAAUAAACAGAGGCUGACCCAGGCCAAAGAAGCUAAGGCUGAAAUUGAACAGUACCUCCUGCAGAGGGAGAAGAGUUAAAGGCCAAGAAACCCAUUCACUGGGAUCAUAGGGCAGUUGCAGCACUGAAGUGGAGGAGACCUAGGAGAAGAUGAUCAUCUUCCAGAACUACUUCAGGCAGAACAGGGAUGAAGGCUUGGGUCACUUGUUGGUCUUUGAGACAUCCAGCCAAAAAUCCAUGAAAUCUACUCCAUAAAUG